rnacentral:rRNA from 1 species
ACUAACAAGGAUUCCCCUAGUAACUGCGAGUGAAGCGGGAAGAGCUCAAAUUUGUAAUCUGGCGCAAGCCCGAGUUGUAAUCUAGAGAAGCGUUAUCAGGCGCCGACCGUGUUAAAGUUCCUUGGAACAGGAUGUCAUAGAGGGUGAGAAUCCCGUGCUUGACAUGGCUGCGGUGCUGCAGAGGCGCUCUCGACGAGUCGAGUUGUUUGGGAAUGCAGCUCAAAACGGGUGGUAAACUCCAUCUAAAGCUAAAUAUUGGCGAGAGACCGAUAGCGAACAAGUACCGUGAGGGAAAGAUGAAAAGGACUUUGGAAAGAGAGUUAAAGAGUACGUGAAAUUGCUGAAAGGGAAGCGCUUGGAGUGAGUCGCGCGGGCAGGAGUCAGCCGUCGAGGUGUAUUUCCUGCCUGCGGGUCAGCAUCGACUUCGGGCGGCGAACAAGGGCUCGAGGAAUGUGGCACCUUCGGGUGUGUUAUAGCCUCKUGUCGUACGCGCCGUCUGGGGUCGAGGACCGCGGCGAAAGCCUAGGAUGCUGGCGUAAUGGCUUCAAGCGACCCGUCUUGAAACACGGACCAAGGAGUCUAACAUGCGUGCGAGUGUUUGGGUGGUAAACCCGGGCGCGUAAUGAAAGUAAACGGAGGUGGGAGCUUUGGCGCACCAUCGACCGGUCCGGAACUUCUGGGAUGGAUCUGAGUAAGAGCAUGUAUGUUGGGACCCGAAAGAUGGUGAACUAUGCCUGAAUAGGGCGAAGCCAGAGGAAACUCUGGUGGAGGCUCGUAGCGAUUCUGACGUGCAAAUCGAUCGUCAAAUUUGGGUAUAGGGGCGAAAGACUAAUCGAACCAUCUAGUAGCUG